rnacentral:lncRNA from 1 species
AAGAAGGAUAAACUGUUUCGCUAUUACGAAAAUAAAUGACACGCAUGUAUUGUCGGUAUGUAUGCGUAACACAAUGACUAUAGUUUUUAUUUAAAAUUACUUUACGAGGUACAUUUAUAUAUACAUAAAAAAUGUAUGACUAAUACAUUUAAGCUUACGCAAUAUGGACAUAUUCGGACACGUGCAAUAAUGUAUUUGUAACACUUUUUUUCAUUUUCAUUCUUAUAUUCCUCGAUUUUAAUUUUUUUUNNNNNNNNNNNNNNNNNNAUUUUGUUUACUUAUUAGAAUCGAUUUUCGAUGCAAAUUAUCAACGAGUUACAUCNNNNNNUAACUUGUAUCGAUUUUUUAUGAACGAUACCGGAAUGUUGCAAGUUUCUGCUCGAAACAAAUAAAAUUCUCAUAAAACAUCAACAACUUCCGAACGAUCGUCACGCGCGAUCUCGAAAUCAGUAACGAAUCGAAUUCGGUCGAGUCGAGUCGAGUCGAAUUGACAGUAAAGCGCCGAAGCGCGGAAAAGGUGCAUAAAGGCUCGUUCGUUCCAACGACGCUGUGUCUGAUGAUUGCUGAGCGGUUUCGGAUCGUCGUCACUCGCGUUCUACAAAGAAGCGGUACGAACGUAACGAUAGCCUCGUGAUUACAUCGAUACACGAUCGACGACCAGUUUCGCGUCUUUCUUCAUUUGGCGUCGUCCUGUUCCAUCGGCUCCUCGGAAACUUCUCGGGAAUGUUCUGGGGUAGUUCUGAAAAAUCGCAAAUCGCUGCGAGUGAAUCUUUCGAAAUCUCGAAUAGACAGUAGAUGGAUAAAAAAAUCGAAUCGAACUUAAUAUCAUGAUAUCGACGUACGUUAAAUUGGUAGGCUGCUGCAUCGAUAAAGAGGCCAUCGCGGAGACUGUCUCUGUCUCGUCGCGUUCCUUUUGUCCGGCUUCGAUCGCGCUCAUCGAAGCCGUGUGCGCGUUCAACUUGACGCAAGGCCAAUGAGACAUCUGCGUGCGAACGAA